rnacentral:lncRNA from 1 species
UCUGACAAAGCUGGAGAAACCGAGUAUUUGCUGUCUCUGCAGAAUCAAAUUAAGGUACUGAAGGUAAAUUUGUUUCUGAAGUUUUAAAUUAUAUUCUCCCAUAUAUCACACAAUUAGGGGGACUGACUUUUGGGGAUGGCAAAAACUGAUUGCAUUAGUUAUUUUCCUGAUUGUAUGGGUGCAAUAUCAUGCACAUACAAAAAAUUAUGGUUCUAUUUCUAAAGGUCAAUGAAAUUUGAAUAAGAUUUGAAAAGUACCUUUUUAUUUAUUUCCACAACUUGAUUUUAUUCAUCAUUCGCUGUAGGCUGUAGUAGCAAUACAGUGAAAAUUCCUAUCUCAUUCAAUGUUCUACUGAUAGCAGGGAAUUUCACACAUGGUUAAAUGUGUUUGUGGAGUGGAAUACAUGAUAGAUCUUGUUUGUGCAUAAUGAAGAGGUGACAUGUACACAAUUAUGGAUUACUCAACAGGCUGGAGAAAGAACUCAAAGGGCAUGUCUUAAAAUACAAUUCUUUUUUCAUCAUUCCAGCUGAAAGGUAAAUGCAACUAGUGAUUCAUAUUCCUCUAAACUAAUAGCACAUAAUAUGAUGGAACUGCUAUAGUUACUUGAUACUGUGAAAACUGAAGUAAUUCCGAAAAAUAUUUUCUUUCUAGCCUAUGUCUUCAUAUAUAUGCUUUUCAGAUAUCAUUCAUAUGACUUUAAAUCAUAUGCUACAAGUGGUAUAAGAGAUAUAUACGUGGGAAACAUUCUAAACAAUCAUUGUGUAAGAGCUUUAUAGUUUUAGUCUUUUAGAUAAUUGUUCUUUCCACUGUCCACGAUCCAAC